rnacentral:rRNA from 1 species
CAGCCGUAAACUAUGCGCGUUAGGUGUAUCGGUGACCACGAGUUACCGAGGUGCCGAAGGGAAACCGUGAAACGUGCCGCCUGGGAAGUACGGUCGCAAGGCUGAAACUUAAAGGAAUUGGCGGGGGAGCACCACAACAGGUGGGAGCCUGCGGUUUAAUUGGACUCAACGCCGGGAAGCUCACCGGAUAGGACAGCAGAAUGAUUGCCGGGCUGAAGACCCUGCAUGACUAGCUGAGAGGAGGUGCAUGGCGUAGACGUCU